UACGUAGGGUGCAAGCGUUAAUCGGAAUUACUGGGCGUAAAGCGUGCGCAGGCGGUUAUGUAAGACAGAUGUGAAAUCCCCGGGCUCAACCUGGGAACUGCAUUUGUGACUGCAUAGCUAGAGUACGGUAGAGGGGGAUGGAAAUUCCGCGUGUAGCAGUGAAAUGCGUAGAUAUGCGGAGGAACACCGAUGGCGAAGGCAUCCCCUGGACCUGUACUGAC
rnacentral:rRNA from 1 species